AUUAGGUCGGGAAGCAGGCUUCCGUCAUUUUUACAGCUUCCAAGUGAUUUCAGUGUGCUCCCAAGGCUGGAGUUGGCUGCUCUGAGAUGUGGCGCACCAGGGCCGGAUCUACAUCUGCUGCUUCAUGGAAUCCAAUUUUAUUUUUAAGCCUCCACGACAGCCUCACCGAACCAUCGCACGGCUGUUGGCUGGAAUUACCUCCCUGCAUAUAUCUAGAGCCUUAUUCUCGCUUUCAGUGUUGUUCAGAAAAAUAAGGUAAUGUACGACAAAAUGCCUAUCAUCGAGCCAGCGUAUAACAACAGAUGCUUAACAAA